AUUGAACGCUGGCGGCAGGCCUAACACAUGCAAGUCGAAUGGUAACAGGAAACAGCUUGCUGUUUCGCUGACGAGUGGCGGACGGGUGAGUAAUGUCUGGGAAACUGCCUGAUGGAGGGGGAUAACUACUGGAAACGGUAGCUAAUACCGCAUAACGUCGCAAGACCAAAGAGGGGGACCUUCGGCCUCUUGCCAUCAGAUGUGCCAGAUGGGAUUAGCUAGUAGGUGGGGUAACGGCUCACCUAGGCGACGAUCCCUAGCUGGUCUGAGAGGAUGACCAGCCACACUGGAACUGAGACACGGUCCAGACUCCUACGGGAGGCAGCAGUGGGGAAUAUUGCACAAUGGGCGCAAGCCUGAUGCAGCCAUGCCGCGUGUAUGAAGAAGGCCUCGGUGUAAGUACUUCUAGCGGGA
rnacentral:rRNA from 1 species